GACGAACGCUGGCGGCGUGCCUAAUACAUGCAAGUCGAGCGGACAGAAGGGAGCUUGCUCCCGGAAGUCAGCGGCGGACGGGUGAGUAACACGUGGGCAACCUGCCCUGCAGAUUGGGAUAACUCCGGGAAACCGGGGCUAAUACCGAAUAACAUUGGAAACCUCAUGGUUUCCUUUUAAAAGGCGGCUUCGGCUGUCACUGCAGGAUGGGCCCGCGGCGCAUUAGCUAGUUGGUGAGGUAACGGCUCAACAAGGCGACGAUGCGUAGCCGACCUGAGAGGGUGAUCGGCCACACUGGGACUGAGACACGGCCCAGACUCCUACGGGAGGCAGCAGUAGGGAAUCUUCCGCAAUGGACGAAAGUCUGACGGAGCAACGCCGCGUGAGUGAAGAAGGUUUUCGGAUCGUAAAACUCUGUUGUCAGGGAAGAACAAGUACGGUAGUAACUGCCCGUACCUUGACGGUACCUGGCCAGAAAGCCACGGCUAACUACGUGCCAGCAGCCGCCGUAACAC
rnacentral:rRNA from 1 species